rnacentral:miRNA from 1 species
UUAGCAGCACGUAAAUAUUGGAGU